GCAAGUCGAGCGAGAAAGGUCUUCGGACUGAGUACAGCGGCGGACGGGUGAGUAACGCGUAGGAAUCUACCUGGUAGUGGGGGACAACAUGGGGAAACCCAUGCUAAUACCGCAUACGCCCUAUGGGGGAAAGCGGGGGACCUUCGGGCCUCGCGCUAUCAGAUGAGCCUGCGUAGGAUUAGCUUGUUGGUGAGGUAAAGGCUCACCAAGGCGACGAUCAAUAGCCGACCUGAGAGGGUGAUC
rnacentral:rRNA from 1 species